CUGGCGGCAUGCUUAACACAUGCAAGUCGAACGGUAACAGGUCUAGCUUGCUAGAUGCUGACGAGUGGCGGACGGGUGAGUAACGCGUGGGAAUCUGCCUUCUAGUGGGGGAUAGCCCGGAGAAAUCCGGAUUAAUACCGCAUACGCCCUACGGGGGAAAGCCGGGGAUCUUCGGACCUGGCGCUAGGUAGAUGAGCCCGCGUGAGAUUAGCUUGUUGGUGGGGUAAUGGCCUACCAAGGCAACGAUCUCUAGCUGGUCUGAGAGGACGAUCAGCCACACUGGGACUGAGACACGGCCCAGACUCCUACGGGAGGCAGCAGUGGGGGAAUAUUGGACAAUGGGGCGAAAGCCUGAUCCAGCAAUGCCGCGUGUGUGAAGAAGGCCUGAGGGUUGUAAAGCACUUUCAAUCGUGAAGAAAAGUUGCAGGCUAAUACCCUGUGACCUUGACGUUAACGAUACAAGAAGCACCGGCUAACUCCGUG
rnacentral:rRNA from 1 species